CUUCCGAAUGCCAUUUUUUAAUUGCUCACCGGUCUGGCAUCUGCUUUCAACUGGAUGAUUACCGAUUCUGCCUCUUGGAUUGUCCUGGUGUUCCUGAAGCCCGUAGUAGAGAUGCUCUAUAACAGGAGGAGGGAAGGAGAAAGAAGCGUCUGAAACUGUCACAGUCUCGAGUGAGAGCUGUGUCCAUCAGAGCACCUUCAAAAACGGCACGGUCGACACGGCACCAGGCCUGCUUGCGUCGGAUGGGAUUCACCUUUGUCAACAGGGAAAGAGGGUCUUUGCUCAUGGGCUAGCAGGGCUCGUUGACAGAGCUUUAAACUAGACUUGAAGGGCAUAAUGUCAGGCUUGCUUGUGACAAGCUGUGGGACAACACGCCAAGGCUAGAGGGAUGGGGUGCUAGAAGGGCCUUCAGCCUCUCACUCUGAGACAUGCUAGGCACGCCAAGGUCAAUGAAGAAGGAAGGGGAGGAGGUGCUCCAGGUG